CAGCCGCCGCGGUAAUACGUAGGUCCCGAGCGUUGUCCGGAUUUAUUGGGCGUAAAGCGAGCGCAGGCGGUUAGAUAAGUCUGAAGUUAAAGGCUGUGGCUUAACCAUAGUACGCUUUGGAAACUGUUUAACUUGAGUGCAAGAGGGGAGAGUGGAAUUCCAUGUGUAGCGGUGAAAUGCGUAGAUAUAUGGAGGAACACCGGUGGCGAAAGCGGCUCUCUGGCUUGUAACUGACGCUGAGGCUCGAAAGCGUGGGGAGCAAACAGGAUUAGAUACCCCGGUAGUCCCUGUCUCUUAUACC
rnacentral:rRNA from 1 species